rnacentral:lncRNA from 1 species
CAGAUCAUUGAGCAACAACGAACUGAUGGAGCUGCCCCCCCCAGAGCCGCCCAACGAGCGGGGUCUCAUUAACCCCCCCCCCUAAUUAGCGGGGCCUCGUUAAUUCCCCCGGCGCCGCCCGCAGAGUGACGCCCCCCCCCGAAACCCCCCGAGGAGUGGGGGGGGGCCGAGGAGCCCCCGCGGGCGGCGCCAGCCGGGAAACGGGGCCUGCGUUUUGGGGUAAGAAAUGGCCAUUUUGGGAGCCCGCGUUUUGGGGCAAGAAAUGGCCGUUUUGGGACAAGAAACGGCGAUUUUGGGAGCCCGCGUUUUGGGGGCAAUAAAUGGUGAUUUGGGGGCAAGAAACGGCGAUUUUGGGGCAAGAAACGGCGAUUUUGGGGGCCUGCAUUUUGGGGCAAGAAAUGGCGAUUUUGGGGCUGCUCUCUCUCACAGUGCGGGGCCCAUCGCUGCCGUGUGGGGUGGACAUUGGGGUUUUGGGGCCAAUCCUUGGGGUUUCGGGGCCAAUCCUUGGGAUUUUGGGGCAUUUUGUGGAGAUUUUUGGGGCCAUUUGUGGGGGUUUUGGGGUCAAUCCUUGGGAUUUUGGGGCCAUUUGUGGAGGUUUUGGGGUCAAUCCUUGGGAUUUUGGGGUCGUUUGUGGGGUCUUUGGGUUCUAUUGUUGGGAUUUUGGGGUCAAUCCUUGGGGUUUUGGGGCCGUUUGUUGAAGUUUUGGGGUCGAUCAAUGAGGUUUUGGGGCAUUUUGCUGAGAUUUUUGGGGCCAUUUGUGGAGGUUUUGGGGUCAAUCCUUGGGAUUUUGGGGUCGUUUGUGGGGGCUCUGGGUUCUGUUGUUGGGAUUUUGGGGUCAAUCUUUGGGGUUUUGGGGUCAAUCCUUGGAUUGUGGGGUCUACUGUUGAGAUUUUUGGGGCCCUUUUUUGAGGUUUUGGGGUCAGUCCUUGGGAUUUGGGGGCCAUUCCUUGGGGUUUUGGGGUCAAUUGUUGGGGUUUUGGGGUCAGUCAGGAUUUUAGGGCCAUUUGUCGAGGUUUUGGGGUCCCCUGGUGGGCAUUUGGGCUCAGCCAUUGGGGUUUUAGGGUCAAUCAUUGGAGUUCUGGGCUCGUUUCUUGAGGUUUAUGGGGUGGUUGAUGUUUUGGGGCCAUUUGUUGAGGUUUGGGGAUCGAUCGUUGGGAUUUGGGGGGUGUUCGUUGGGAUUUUGGGGCCGUUCAUUGGGAUUUUGGGUUUGACGGGAUUUUGGGGUCGAUUGUUGGGAUUUUGGGGCCGUUCGUUGGGAUUUUGGGGCUGUUCAUUGGGAUUUUGGGUUUGAUGGGAUUUUGGGGCUGUUCGUUGUGAUUUUGGGGCUGUUCAUUGGGAUUUUGGGGCCGUUUGUUGGGAUUUUGGGGUCAUUCAUUGGGAUUUUGGGGUCACGGAGGUUUUUGGGGUCCUUUCAUGGGGUUUUUGGUUCGAAUGCAAAACGUGGGGGUCAUCCCCUGAAAUGCUGGGGUCACUCUGUGCUUUUUUUGGGGUCAUUCUGGGGCUUUUUGGGGUCGUUUCGUGAGGUUUUUUUUUUUUGGGGGGGGGGGGUCAUCCCAUGAAAUUUUGGGGUGAGAUCCCGAGAUUUCAGCUCCACUUCCGGUCGGUGUUCAUAUUUGCAAAGUUUAUUCCUUUUGGGGGCAUUUCCACAGCUUUUAGCCCCCCCCACCCCCCCCACUCCAAAAUCUGGGGUCUGCCCCCCCCAUUUUGGGGGCAGAUUCCAGGUUUUGGGGACCCCCUCCAGAUUUUUUUUUUUUGGGGGGGGGGUUCCC